AUGAUGGAAGGAGAAGAUUGUUCUUUUACCAAACAUAUGCAGAUCAAAUCAUGUCUUAUAAUAAGAAGAAAUCUUUCUUGGUAUCAAUCCUCUUGCCACUUAUUCUCGGAGAAUCAGAAGGAUCUUUUUUGAGUUUCCAUUUCUUCAUUUGGAAACUUGGAUCUUCAAUCUUCGAUUUAA
rnacentral:rRNA from 1 species